UUUCUGGAUGAGCCCGCGGCCUAUCAGCUUGUUGGUGGGGUGAUGGCCUACCAAGGCGACGACGGGUAGCCGGCCUGAGAGGGCGACCGGCCACACAGAGGACUGAGACACGGCCCAGACUCCUACGGGAGGCAGCAGUGGGGAAUAUUGCACAAUGGGCGCAAGCCUGAUGCAGAGACGCCGCGUGAGGGAUGACGGCCUUCGGGUCGUAAACCUCUUUCGGCUCCGACGAAGCGAGAGUGACGGUAGGUCAUACCGGCGUCCG
rnacentral:rRNA from 1 species